AGGAAAAGAAACCAACAGGGAUUGCCCCAGUAACGGCGAGUGAAGCGGCAGCAGCCCAGAUUUGAAAUCCGGCUUCGGCCCGAGUUGUAAUCUGCAGAGGAAGCUUCGGGCGGCGCCGCCUCCCGAGUCCCCUGGAAUGGGGCGCCGGAGAGGGUGAGAGCCCCGUACGGCAGGCGGCCGCCGUCCGCCGCGAAGCUCCUUCGAAGAGUCGAGUAGUUUGGGAAUGCUGCUCCAAGCGGGAGGUAAAUCCCUCCUAAGGCUAAAUACCGGCCGGAGACCGAUAGCGCACAAGUAGAGUGAUCGAAAGAUGAAAAGCACCUUGGAAAGGGGGUUAAACAGUACGUGAAAUUGCUGAGGGGGAAGCGCCUGCGGCCAGACUCGCCCCCGGCGGAUCAUCCGGCGGCCCCGGCAACGGGCGCUGCCGGUGCACUCCGUCGGGCACGGCGGGCCAGCAUCGGCCCGGGACGCGGGGGACAAAAGCGGCGCCGGAACGUGGCCCCCCUCCGGGGGGGUGUUAUAGCCGCCCGCCCAACGCCCCGCGCCGGGCCGAGGACCGCGCCGGCUUCCGCC
rnacentral:rRNA from 1 species